CCUUAACUCCUCUGGGUCUGUUUUUUCAUGGGUUCACAGAUAGUACCUGCUUCCUUGGGUUACUGAGAAAAUCAGGAGUUAAACGGCGAAAAGAGCGCUUCCAAGACCUCCUGGUACAUAGUAAGUGCAGGCGAAACAGCUCCUCAAGGAGACUGUUUAGAAACAGGCAGGAAAACCCCCAGGUGGCCCUGAAAUGGUGGGCAGUGGCCAUCCCGGGGAGGUCUGGGGUGGGCAGGACGCGUAUGUCCUUCCGAGGCACGCAGGAGCAUGUGCGUGUUACACUCGGCUCCCUCGUGGAUCUGAUGGAGGGUCGUCACUAAGAAGGAAGCAGAGUGGGCCUCAAGAUGCAACUUUAACUCCGUGUGGCUAGAGACAAGCUCUGAGACACACCUCUGUGUGCUUGUCUCCCUCCUGGAAAAGGCAGAGGAACCCAGUUCAGAGGGUUCUUACUCUGAAAAAACAACAACCUACCACCCAAGAGCGGUUACAUAAAACUCCCAAGGGUCAGUGGAAAACAGCAAGAAAGCAUGAUCCGUUGUGUGACCCGCCCCGGGCCCUAGCAGGACGCCCACGUAGCAGGACGGUCCGCCCUCCAUGGGCGCCGCACGUGGGCUUUGGGGCUCCAGGGCCCCUCUGCCCGCAGGGCCGUCUUACCCUGGGGCUCCAGGCUUCCUCCAGGCCCGCCAGGAGCAGGGCGCCCGUCUCCACCUCAACCCCCACCGAGGACCGGGAACCGGCAAUCAGUCACUCCCAAGAGCCACUAAGGCACACACUGCAACCACUGACCCAAAUACACAUACUUUCUCAAAUUUGAAGCACGCAUACACAUGUAUCACAGUGUGAGAACGCUUUCUCCUCCCAACAUGCAGUCCUGUUCUGAGAGUUUCCUGAAAUUGCAAGCCUGAAAACACGCAGGCACGGGGAAUGUGUUCUUCCCAUCGCUGACUUCGCUAGGUUUAGUCGGAAAAUGUUAAUACUGAAUGACCUUUCUCUGAAGGGUAUUUUAAGGAGACAAAGCAAUUUUCCGUAAUAUGGUUACCAUAGUGAUUGGCCCUUGAAAAGGCGGGGGGAGAAAUGAUGUACAUCUGCAAUCAACAGUCACUGCGGCAACAAAUGGUUCGAUAAAGCAACACAGGGAUUAAUGUGAAGCAGAAGAGAUACGCAGGGCUUUUUAAGUCACCAGAAAAAAGCAGCAGCAGUGCAGUGAGGCACAAGGCCUUGGUAACCAGCAGGGACCUCUGCUCAGGCGGAGGGGAGGCCCUGGGCAGGUCCCCUGCCCUCCUGGGGCAAAGGUGUCCCAUGGGGGCCAGCGGGGGUGGAACCCUGCGACAGCCUCCUGCUGCGGGUGAGGGAGGAGCCCUCUGCCCCCGUCACAGCCGAGUGUGUCUGCGGCUGGACCCUCAAGUUGAAGCAUAAAGGGGGACCCACUAAAGGAACCCAGGGUCCUGGGAAAGACGGCCGAUCCCGGGUCUGGACCUGGAUACUGCAUUAUGUCAGAGAGCAGGAAGCUUCUCCUGGAGCAGUGGGGACAGGCCAGGGGCACGAGCUGCCUGCAGGGCUUCUCUGGCUGAAUACGGAAUUCACACAUCAAAGUAAGUGAUGGUGGAAACAGAACUGCUGUUCAGUUGCUAAGUCAUGGUCAACUCUUUGCAACCCCAUAGACUGCAGCACGCCAGGCCUCCCUGUCCAUCACCAGCUCCCGGAGUUUACUCAAACUCAUGUCCAUCCUGUCGGUGAUGCCAUCCAACCAUCGCAUUCUCUGUUGUCCCCUUCUCCUUCAAUCUUUCCAAGCAUCAGGGUCUUUUCAAAUGAGCUGGCUCUUCUCAUCACGUGGCCAAAGUAUUAGCGCUUCAGCCUCAGCAUCAGUCCUUCCAAUGAAUAUUUAGGACUGAUUUCCUUUAGGAUGGACUGGUUGGAUUUCCUUGCAGUCCAAGGGACUCUGAAGGGUCUUCUCCAACACCACAGUUCAAAGGCAUCAAUACUUCAGCACUCAGCUUUCUUUAUAGUCCAGCUCUCUCACAUCUGUACAUGACUACUGGAGAAAUCAGAGCUCUAACUAUGGGGGCUACACAGUAACAGAGCAUAGCCCUUUAAACAAUCGCACCAUGAGUUCACGUGGAUAUGGGUGAAGGAAUGAAUAUAUAAAUGGGAAUUUUAAUGAGGACACUUACCUAAUUUCAGAGUAUUUAUAUGCAAAAUACCAAAAAGGAGAAGAGAGGAACAUGAAACGGACAUGCCUGGGAGGUGUCAUCCUAAGUGGUUAAUGAUAACAGACAGCAGUCACGGGGCUGCCCAAAGGUGACUCCUGGGAGAGGUGGUGUGAUGAGACCCGGCCCUGCUCCACGCAGCCUGAAUGUGCUGUGAGGAAUCACCAGAUGAACAUGCAGGAGGCACACUCUUUAGUAGCCGGGCUGUCAUCUUCAAGAGAGCCUCUCUCGUGGUCUCCUAGGACGUCCGAGGAGGCUCCAGGGUGAAGGAGCGUCGCGGCUCAGGGGGAGACGAGCUGAGCCGGGUCCUCCUGCCUCCGCUCCUCCCCGCCCUGCUCGCCUGGCCCGGGGCGGGCAGGGCCAGCUCUGCUCUUACACGCACGCCCGGCCUCGACCCAGCUGGCGCCGACACAGGGGCCUGCGUCUCUAACGGGUUCCCUGGCGGAGCACACGGGGCACCCAGGGCCCGAGACGGCGAAAGUGCAGUGGCCUCCUCUCCUCACAGGUCCUCUGACGGCCCCGAGGCCAGAAGCCCAGCACGAGCCUCUCCGGGCCACAGCACGGGCAUCUCAGGGCUGCGCCCACGGUGCCGGAAGGGGCGGGCCCUCCCGCUUCCGGCUUCCGGAAGCACUGCGCCCGCCGGUUCACCGCCGCUCCACCGCGCGUUGGACGACUCGCUGCCCCUCCUCGAGGGGGCGUCGCCCUCUGACCCCACCCGGAGAGCCCCGGCUUCUCAGGACCCCCGUGGACACUCAGGACCACCUCCCGACCUCAGGGCCCGUAACCGUCACCCCGUCCUGGGCUCGGCUGUGGGCGCCUGCGGGCCGUCUCCCUGCCCCCUCCCCGGCCUGCCGCCCCGCUGGGGACGGUGUUUCCCGCGGGAGUUAGCAGCUGUGCCACCACCGCCGUGUCCCCGGGCGGCACGUCCUGCCCCGGCAUCCCCGGGGGAGCUCUGGGUUUCGUCUAUCUCACCCAGAGCCUGGCACGUGCAGAGGCUUCCUGGAAACCAAAUCCUUCAUUCAACAGAAAGGACUGGUUUCCGUGCUCCCUCAGGAUGAAACUAUGCGUGGGCUGUCGGGUCAGGCGGGGCUCCCCGCGGCCCAGGCAUCUCCACAGCCUCGCCUGCUGCCCCUGUGACGCCCCAGACACCCCGGGCCAGUAGGCCCGGGCUGAGCAUCCAAGCUCAGCCACUCACUCUGGUCCCUCUCCAUGUCCAGACGCGUCUGUGACCGGGAGACACGACGCCUCUCCCAGGGCGCCAGCCAGGCUCCAGAAGGAAGAGGCCCCCACGUCCCAGGUGGCUCAGCUGGAAGGACCGCAGAGGCCCACCCAGGGAAAGAAUCUGCCCACCAUGCGGAAGACCCGGGUCCCAUC
ensembl:lncRNA